AUACGUAGGUGGGCAAGCGUUGUCCGGAAUUAUUUGGGCGUAAAGGGCGUGUAGGUGGAUUUUUAAGUCGUGUGUCUAAGUGCGGGGCUCAACCCCCGUAUGGGCGCAGGAAACUGGAGAUCUUGAGUGCAGGAGAGGAAAGUGGAAUUCCCAGUGUAGCGGUGAAAUGCGUAGAUAUUGGGAGGAACACCAGUGGCGAAGGCGACUUUCUGGACUGUGUCUGACACUGAGGCGCGAAAGUCAGGGGAGC
rnacentral:rRNA from 1 species